rnacentral:lncRNA from 1 species
AUUAACACAUCACUUCAUAUUUCAUUACAUAACACAACCCAGCAAGCAUUGCAUCAGUUCAAGACCAAAAGCUACAGCCAUGAUAGCUUACACAGCUACAGCCAUAUCAGUUCACAUAACUAUAACCAUCAGCUCUUCCUAAUGCAUAAAUUGAAAACCAAUAGCUGCAACCAUCGGUGCAUCAGGACAUCACUACAACCAACAGCUUACAUCACAUAGCACCUAGCUUACAUAGAUACAGGAAAGUAACUAGAACAUUGGCGUUACAGAAAAACAGGGCACUUCUAUAGUCGUCAAACACCAGAGCAGCCAGCAUCGCCUCCGGUGCCGUCAUCCCUGCCACAGUAAGUCGCAAAGUGAUGGUUACGGGGGAGCUCGGCGCCUGCGGCCGGUAGCCAUGCAUCUGGCAGAUGUUCCGUGAGUACAAGGGCGCCAUGGGAGCAUUGCAGACCUUAUGCACGAGCAUUGCAGCCAGCCUCAGCUCGCCACUGCUGCCGCCGAUGGCCCUCGCCCCCGAACCAGCCCACAGUAGAGCUUGCCCGGAGCGUACAAUGCCGGCGUGCGUGUGAAGAGCAGUUGUCCGGUCUCCGGCCGGAGAAACUGCUCGCCGCGGCGCCGCACUAACUGGACAAACGAAAUGGAGAGCAGUCCUGCGGUUGAAACGACGCCGCGUUCGACGGGGG